AACGAACGCUGGCGGCAUGCCUAACACAUGCAAGUCGAACGAGACCUUCGGGUCUAGUGGCGCACGGGUGCGUAACGCGUGGGAACCUGCCCUUAGGUUCGGAAUAACUCCCCGAAAGGGGUGCUAAUACCGGAUAAUGUCUUCGGACCAAAGAUUUAUCGCCUUUGGAUGGGCCCGCGUUGGAUUAGCUAGUUGGUAGGGUAAAAGCCUACCAAGGCGACGAUCCAUAGCUGGUCUGAGAGGAUGAUCAGCCACACUGGGACUGAGACACGGCCCAGACUCCUACGGGAGGCAGCAGUGGGGAAUAUUGGACAAUGGGCGAAAGCCUGAUCCAGCAAUGCCGCGUGAGUGAUGAAGACCUUAGGGUUGUAAAGCUCUUUUACCCGGGAUGAUAAUGACAGUACCGGGAGAAUAAGCUCCGGCUAACUCCG
rnacentral:rRNA from 1 species